rnacentral:rRNA from 1 species
GACGUAGGGCGCGAGCGUUGUCCGGAUUUAUUGGGCGUAAAGAGCUCGUAGGCGGCUUGUCGCGUCGGAUGUGAAAGCCCGGGGCUUAACUCCGGGUCUGCAUUCGAUACGGGCAGGCUAGAGUGUGGUAGGGGAGAUCGGAAUUCCUGGUGUAGCGGUGAAAUGCGCAGAUAUCAGGAGGAACACCGGUGGCGAAGGCGGCUCUCUGGACCGAGACUGACGCUGAGGCGCGAAAGCGUGGGGAGCAAACAGG